CCCCUAGAUGUUCUGGGCCGCACGCGCGCUACACUGAACAGUUCAACAAGUCUUAACCUUGGCCGAUAGGUCUGGGUAAUCUUUGAACGCUGUUCGUGAUUGGGAUAGACCUUUGCAAUUAUGGGUCUUCAACGAGGAAUUCCUAGUAAACGCAAGUCAUCAGCUUGCAUUGAUUACGUCCCUGCCCUUUGUACACACCGCCCGUCGCACCUACCGAUUGAAUGGUCCGGUGAAAUCUCGGGACGGGGGCUUGGUCGCUUGCGUCCGACUGCUGAAACUUGAUUAAACCAUAUCAUUUAGAGGAAGGUGAAGUCGUAACA
rnacentral:rRNA from 1 species